GCUCUCGGCAGAGACAGCCUAUGUGCCUUCCAGUCGCCAGCAAAGUGGCAGAGCUGCUGUGUAGCUGAGAUAUGUGGAUUUUGGGACGUAGAUAGUCUCUUCCUUGUUCUCUUCCUCUCAUGCUUCAAGCAAAAUCACGUCGGCAGAGAGUGGCUGCUGCGGGAAAGAGGGAGCCUGUGUACAGGCCUUGACAUCCUUGGUGUCCUUGUCCAAAGACUUACUAGUAUUGUUGAACAGGGUGGGAAACUGAAGUUCUGAAGCAUAGAAAAUGAAAGCUUUGGUUGAAAAUUUGAAAAUUAGAACACAAGUUUUAAGCCAGAGAAGAAUUUGAGGACUCCAAAG